rnacentral:rRNA from 1 species
AUUGAACGCUGGCGGCAGGCCUAACACAUGCAAGUCGAGCGGAUGAAGGGAGCUUGCUCCUGGAUUCAGCGGCGGACGGGUGAGUAAUGCCUAGGAAUCUGCCUGGUAGUGGGGGAUAACGUCCGGAAACGGGCGCUAAUACCGCAUACGUCCUGAGGGAGAAAGUGGGGGAUCUUCGGACCUCACGCUAUCAGAUGAGCCUAGGUCGGAUUAGCUAGUUGGUGGGGUAAAGGCCUACCAAGGCGACGAUCCGUAACUGGUCUGAGAGGAUGAUCAGUCACACUGGAACUGAGACACGGUCCAGACUCCUACGGGAGGCAGCAGUGGGGAAUAUUGGACAAUGGGCGAAAGCCUGAUCCAGCCAUGCCGCGUGUGUGAAGAAGGUCUUCGGAUUGUAAAGCACUUUAAGUCGGGAGGAAGGGCAGUAAGUUAAUACCUUGCUGUUUCGACGUUACCAACAGAAUAAGCACCGGCUAACUUCGUG